rnacentral:lncRNA from 1 species
UCCUCCCUAAGUGGACGCGCGGACAAACGGACAGGCGCGAGGUGGAGGUGGCGACGAUGCGUCCAGGACCCCUGCUGGACACGCAAGCCUGGACCGGGACUGGAACACGGACCCGCACACACGCAGCCUGGAUAGGAGAUACACGGACAGAGGGACAUAUGGAUACAGUCAGGCUCCGCCCCGCCAAGUCCCACACCACCUUCUCUGGGGAAAGGCAGCUCUCACCUGGGCAGCCCCUGGAGGCUUCUACCCCUAGAGGGGAAAAUAGGUCUCACGGCAAGACAGCAGUCCCCAGGUGGAUAUUCAGGGGCCAGGACAGCUCUGUCGGAUCUCACCAACCCCACCAGCGCCCAGGUGCUGAGACCGAGGUGCUGAGAGGCUAGAAGAGAACUUCAGCCCUGCCUGACAGAGAAGGUUCAGCCUCACUCCCGCUCACCACUCACUCAGGCAAGUCGCUAAACAUCCCCGAGCCUCAAGUUUCCUCAUCUGCAAAAUGGGACAAUAAUGACCUCCCUCCUAGAGUGGUUGGGAAGGUUAAACCGCAGGGCGCAUGGAGCACAGCUGGUACUGCACCAAGUACCAAGUAAACACGCAUUUGCUGUGAGCUUGCUGCUUCCGAAUAAUCUCAUUAAAAAUAUUAAGAAUUUUG